UACGUAGGGUGCGAGCGUUGAUCGGAAUUACUGGGCGUAAAGCGUGCGCAGGCGGUUCGUUAAGUCAGAUGUGAAAUCCCCGGGCUCAACCUGGGAACUGCAUUUGUGACUGCACGGCUGGAGUGCGGCAGAGGGGGAUGGAAUUCCGCGUGUAGCAGUGAAAUGCGUGGAUAUGCGGAGGAACACCGAUGGCGAAGGCAAUCCCCUGGGCCUGCACUGACGCUCAUGCACGAAAGCGUGGGGAGCAAACAGG
rnacentral:rRNA from 1 species